rnacentral:tRNA from 1 species
GGGCCCAUAGCUCAGUGGAUAGAGCACCUGAUUUCUAAUCUGGCGGUCGCAGGUUCGAGACCUGCUGGGCUCA